rnacentral:miRNA from 1 species
UUCGAUAUAUCGAAAAAAUGCCAUUUCUUCAAUAUAUCGAAAGAAUGCCAUUUCUUCGAUAUAUCGACAGAAUGCCAUUUCUUCAACAUAUUAAAAGAAUGCCAUUUCUUUGAUAUCUCGAAAGAAUGCCAUUUCUUCGAUAUAUCGAA